CACAUGCAAGUCGAGGGGCAGCAUGAACUUAGCUUGCUAAGUUUGAUGGCGACCGGCGCACGGGUGAGUAACACGUAUCCAACCUGCCGAUGACUCGGGGAUAGCCUUUCGAAAGAAAGAUUAAUACCCGAUGGCAUAGUUCUUCCGCAUGGUAGAACUAUUAAAGAAUUUCGGUUGUCGAUGGGGAUGCGUUCCAUUAGGCAGUUGGCGGGGUAACGGCCCACCAAACCAACGAUGGAUAGGGGUUCUGAGAGGAAGGUCCCCCACAUUGGAACUGAGACACGGUCCAAACUCCUACGGGAGGCAGCAGUGAGGAAUAUUGGUCAAUGGACGAGAGUCUGAACCAGCCAAGUAGCGUGAAGGAUGACUGCCCUAUGGGUUGUAAACUUCUUUUAUACGGGAAUAAAGUGAGCCACGUGUGGCUUUUUGUAUGUACCGUAUGAAUAAGGAUCGGCUAACUCCGUGCCAGCAGCCGCGGUAAUACGGAGGAUCCGAGCGUUAUCCGGAUUUAUUGGGUUUAAAGGGAGCGUAGGCGGGUUGUUAAGUCAGUUGUGAAAGUUUGCGGCUCAACCGUAAAAUUGCAGUUGAUACUGGCGACCUUGAGUGCAACAGAGGUAGGCGGAAUUCGUGGUGUAGCGGUGAAAUGCUUAGAUAUCACGAAGAACUCCGAUUGCGAAGGCAGCUUACUGGAUUGUAACUGACGCUGAUGCUCGAAAGUGUGGGUAUCAAACAGGAUUAGAUACCCUGGUAGUCC
rnacentral:rRNA from 1 species